CCCAGCUGUAGACAACUGCCUAGGUUGCCUUGUACUUAGGUAAGUGUCACAUUGCUGGGAGAAAAUCAGUCAAUAGCUGGCAGGCAUUCUGGGCCUGGUUAAUGCCAAAUUUAUAUUAACUUAGAUUACUAUGCCAGCUUAGUUUCCUUAGACUUAUUUAUUUUUAUUGCAAAGUCAGACAUAUAGAGAGGAGAGACAGA
rnacentral:snoRNA from 1 species